rnacentral:piRNA from 1 species
UCCCAGGUGGACUUCACACUUCCGUGCUGGC